UACGUAGGUGGCAAGCGUUAUCCGGAUUUAUUGGGCGUAAAGGGAACGCAGGCGGUCUUUUAAGUCUGAUGUGAAAGCCUUCGGCUUAACCGGAGUAGUGCAUUGGAAACUGGGAGACUUGAGUGCAGAAGAGGAGAGUGGAACUCCAUGUGUAGCGGUGAAAUGCGUAGAUAUAUGGAAGAACACCAGUGGCGAAAGCGGCUCUCUGGUCUGUAACUGACGCUGAGGUUCGAAAGCAUGGGUAGCAAACAGG
rnacentral:rRNA from 1 species